rnacentral:rRNA from 1 species
AGUGACCGAUAGUGAACCAGUACCGUGAGGGAAAGGUGAAAAGCACCCCGGAAGGGGAGUGAAAUAGAACCUGAAACCGUGUGCUUACAAGUAGUCAGAGCCCGUUAAUGGGUGAUGGCGUGCCUUUUGUAGAAUGAACCGGCGAGUUACGAUUUGAUGCAAGGUUAAGCAGUAAAUGUGGAGCCGUAGCGAAAGCGAGUCUGAAUAGGGCGUUUAGUAUUUGGUCGUAGACCCGAAACCAGGUGAUCUACCCUUGGUCAGGUUGAAGUUCAGGUAACACUGAAUGGAGGACCGAACCGACUUACGUUGAAAAGUGAGCGGAUGAACUGAGGGUAGCGGAGAAAUUCCAAUCGAACCUGGAGAUAGCUGGUUCUCUCCGAAAUAGCUUUAGGGCUAGCCUCAAGUGAUGAUUAUUGGAGGUAGAGCACUGUUUGGACGAGGGGCCCCUCUCGGGUUACCGAAUUCAGACAAACUCCGAAUGCCAAUUAAUUUAACUUGGGAGUCAGAACAUGGGUGAUAAGGUCCGUGUUCGAAAGGGAAACAGCCCAGACCACCAGCUAAGGUCCCAAAAUAUAUGUUAAGUGGAAAAGGAUGUGGCGUUGCCCAGACAACUAGGAUGUUGGCUUAGAAGCAGCCAUCAUUUAAAGAGUGCGUAAUAGCUCACUAGUCGAGUGACACUGCGCCGAAAAUGUACCGGGGCUAAACAUAUUACCGAAGCUGUGGAUUGUCCUUUGGACAAUGGUAGGAGAGCGUUCUAAGGGCGUUGAAGCAUGAUCGUAAGGACAUGUGGAGCGCUUAGAAGUGAGAAUGCCGGUGUGAGUAGCGAAAGACGGGUGAGAAUCCCGUCCACCGAUUGACUAAGGUUUCCAGAGGAAGGCUCGUCCGCUCUGGGUUAGUCGGGUCCUAAGCUGAGGCCGACAGGCGUAGGCGAUGGAUAACAGGUUGAUAUUCCUGUACCACCUAUAAUCGUUUUAAUCGAUGGGGGGACGCAGUAGGAUAGGCGAAGCGUGCGAUUGGAUUGCACGUCUAAGCAGUAAGGCUGAGUAUUAGGCAAAUCCGGUACUCGUUAAGGCUGAGC